AAUAGGACAUUUCCUGAGGAUUAAUGACUGUCCGGGAGGAGUUGAUAGCUGGAAGAGCAACUAAGGGUCAUUAACCCCAGAUGGUCAUUAAUCCCUAGAAAAUGCCCAACA
rnacentral:miRNA from 1 species